rnacentral:rRNA from 1 species
AUUGAACGCUGGCGGCAUGCUUUACACAUGCAAGUCGAACGGCAGCGCGGCCUUCGGUCUGGCGGCGAGUGGCGGACGGGUGCGUAAUGUAUCUGAACGUGCCCAGUCGUGGUGGAUAGCUAUACGAAAGCGUAAGUUAUACCGCAUACGCCCUUAGGGUGAAAGCGGAGGAUCGUGAGCCCUUGCGCUAUUGGAGCGACCGAUGUCGGAUUAGCUAGUUGGUGAGGUAGAGGCUCACCAAGGCGACGAUCCGUAGCGGGUCUGAGAGGAAGACCAGCCACACUGGGACUGAGACACGGCCCAGACUCCUACGGGAGGCAGCAGUGGGGAAUUUUGGACAAUGGGCGCAAGCCUGAUCCAGCCAUGCCGCGUGUGUGAUGAAGGCCUUCGGGUUGUAAAGCACUUUUGGCUGGAAAGAAACGGCACCCGCUAAUACCGCGUGUAGCUGACGGUACCAGCAGAAUAAGCACCGGCUAACUACGUG